GAUGAAGAACGUAGCGAAAUGCGAUACGUAAUGUGAAUUGCAGAAUUCAGUGAAUCAUCGAAUCUUUGAACGCAUAUUGCGCUCUCUGGUAUUCCGGAGAGCAUGCUUGUUUGAGUAUCAGUAAACACCUCAACUUCCAUAUCUUUUUUGAAAUGGGAGUUGGACUUGAGUGAUCCCAACGCUUUUCCUCACCGAAAAGUGGCGGGUUACUUGAAAUGCAGGUGCAGCUGGACUAUUCUCUGAGCUAUAAGCAUAUCUAUUUAGUCUGCCUAAAAAACAGAUUAUUACCUUUGCUGCAGCUAACAUAAAGGAGAUUAGUUCUUGUGCUGACUGAUGCAGGAUUCACAAAGACAGGCUUCGGCCGACUUUGUAAACUCGAUCUCAAAUCAAGUAAGACUACCCGCUGAACUUAAGCAUAUCAAUAAGCGGAGGA
rnacentral:misc_RNA from 1 species